GUAAGGAAUAUUGGUCAAUGGACGGAAGUCUGAACCAGCCAUCCCGCGUGCAGGAUGAAGGUCCUAUGGAUUGUAAACUGCUUUUAGCAGAGACGAAACGCCGGCAUUUAUGUUGGUCUGACGGUAUCUGCGGAAUAAGCACCGGCUAACUCCGUGCCAGCAGCCGCGGUAAUACGGAGGGUGCAAGCGUUAUCCGGAAUCACUGGGUUUAAAGGGUGCGUAGGCGGAUGAUUAAGUCAGUGGUGAAAGCUGGUCGCUUAACGAUCAAACUGCCAUUGAUACUGAUUGUCUUGAAUUGGGUUGAGGUUAGCGGAAUGUGACAUGUAGCGGUGAAAUGCAUAGAUAUGUCAUGGAACACCAAUUGCGAAGGCAGCUAACUGGGCCUUGAUUGACGCUGAGGCACGAAAGCGUGGGUAGCGAACAGGAUUAGAAACCCUGGUAGUCC
rnacentral:rRNA from 1 species